UACGUAGGGUGCGAGCGUUAAUCGGAAUUACUGGGCGUAAAGCGUGCGCAGGCGGUUUGUUAAGACGGAUGUGAAAUCCCCGGGCUCAACCUGGGAACUGCAUUCGUGACUGGCAAGCUAGAGUAUGGCAGAGGGGGGUGGGAAUUCCACGUGUAGCAGUGAAAUGCGUAGAUAUGUGGAGGAACACCGAUGGCGAAGGCAGCCCCCUGGGCCAAUACUGACGCUCAUGCACGAAGCGUGGGGAGCAAACAG
rnacentral:rRNA from 1 species